CCUACGGGCGGCAGCAGUCGAGAAUCAUUCACAAUGGGGGAAACCCUGAUGGUGCGACGCCGCGUGGGGGAAUGAAGGUCUUCGGAUUGUAAACCCCUGUCAUGUGGGAGCAAAUUAAAAAGAUAGUACCACAAGAGGAAGAGACGGCUAACUCUGUGCCAGCAGCCGCGGUAAUACAGAGGUCUCAAGCGUUGUUCGGAAUCACUGGGCGUAAGGCGUGCGUAGGCUGUUUCGUAAGUCGUGUGUGAAAGGCGCGGGCUCAACCCGCGGACGGCACAUGUUAUUGCGAGACUAGAGUAAUGGAGGGGGAACCGGAAUUCUCGGUGUAGCAGUGAAAUGCGUAGAUAGCGAGAGGAACACUCGUGGCGAAGGCGGGUUCCUGGACAUUAACUGACGCUGAGGCACGAAGGCCAGGGGAGCGAAAGGGAUUAGAUACCCCGGUAGUC
rnacentral:rRNA from 1 species